CCGGUUUCCCAAAGUAGACCUCUCCCAUUUGCAUUCAUGUGCAAGCCUUACAAGCAGACGAGCAGAAAGAUUCACACGCGGAGAGCAGCUGUGGCCGAAAAUUCUCCCAAAUGGUUCACUCAGUCCAGCCAUUUUCAGGUCUUUCCAGAGAUUGGCAGACUCGAUGACACUGGAUGCAUUUUAACUGGAUGGACAGGAGGUACUCUCAUCUGUGCCUCUUUCUUUCGAUGUGUCUAUAUGUCUGUUUCUCUGUUUGUUUGUUUGUUUGUUUGUUUGUUUGACUAUGACUGUCCCAGAUGCAAGCAAAUGGCUUGUCGUGGAAUAGGAACAGUCCCAAAUCUGGAAGUCCACUUGAGAAAUUUGCAAUGAAGCAACAGCGGAAGGAAAACAUGCAAAUGGAGACGAGAUGUUUUUUUUUUAUUUUCUCAGUCCUGUUAAUAUUCCACGAGUCACAUGGUCCACAGGAAAUGGAAUCAUUCAGAUCCUCUGCAGGCCACGAGAAGCCCAAAAGUCAGUUCACUCGUUAUGCUUUCUGUAUAUUUGAUGAUGGUUGAUAUUAAAAAAAAAAACAAAAAAAGUUG